rnacentral:rRNA from 1 species
UACGUAGGGUGCAAGCGUUGUCCGGAAUUAUUGGGCGUAAAGAGCUUGUAGGCGGUUUGUCGCGUCUGCUGUGAAAUUUCGGGGCUCAACCCCGAACUUGCAGUGGGUACGGGCAGGCUAGAGUGUGGUAGGGGAGACUGGAAUUCCUGGUGUAGCGGUGAAAUGCGCAGAUAUCAGGAGGAACACCGAUGGCGAAGGCAGGUCUCUGAGCCACUACUGACGCUGAGAAGCGAAAGCAUGGGGAGCGAACAGG